UACGAAGGGGGCUAGCGUUGUCCGGAAUCACUGGGCGUAAAGGGCGCGUAGGCGGCAUGCCAAGCGUGUGGUGAAAGCCCGGGGCUCAACCCCGGGUCGGCCGUGCGGACUGGCGUGCUCGAGCACUGUAGGGGCGGGUGGAAUUCCGGGUGUAGCGGUGGAAUGCGUAGAGAUCCGGAAGAACACCGGUGGCGAAGGCGGCCCGCUGGGCAGGAAGGCUCGCAAGAGCCGGCUGACGCUGAGGCGCGACAGCGUGGGGAGCAAACAGG
rnacentral:rRNA from 1 species